AUUGGGCUGAGCUGGAAAUCUUCUCCAUCCAUGGGAAUGUAAGGAGCCAAGGUUUCAAGGUCCAGUUCAUUGAAGUCAGUCUGCAAAAAACUCUUCUUACCGUGGAACAGCUACUGUUGCUGCUUGCACUCGGAGUACUGCUGCCAGCUGUAAUCUGAGGCAUUGUAAAGGAUGGUAUCAGAAGUGUUUCACCUUCAGCAGCGUGGCUUUUCACUUCCGCUGGCCAUGCUUUGUUUGGUGUUGAGACAGCACUGGUGAAGGCAGGAGCUUUCUCAAACUUCUGCGUCGCUGGAUGGAGUUCUAACAACAUUAUGAAAGCUUUUAGCUUGUGCUGUGUUAUGAUAUAAUUGCAGCUAUUCAUUAAAAAUAAACACGGCUCCUAGUUGCCAUGGCGGUAAGUUGGCAUAGACUUAAUGCAUGUUGUUUAGUCAGCAAGAAAGCCUAAUUCUGCUCUCAUUCACAGAAAUUUUCCACUGGUGUGAGCACGUGGGCUUUUACAGCCAUUACUCCUCAGCUGUACACACAGCAAACAGAGCUCUUCUAUUGGGUUUCUAAAGCUGCCCACAGGUGCACCAGAAGAAUAACACCACCAGGAAAUGCACUUCUUGCCAGGCUACUACUAGCUAACUCAGCCUUUCAGAUUUCCAGCAUAUCUGUGCAUUAUCCCUUAGAGAGACAGUGAUUAUCCUUUCUACUAUCCAAGUGUAAAUUAUGGCAAACAGCAAACCCUCUGGAAAGAUUGUCAGCAGGUUUCAGUUAGACAAAGCAUAAAUACUGUUCCCAGAGAAUAUCUGCACACAAAGUGCAUUUGUAUUUUCAGCUACUUACUGAGGCAUCCACAAACUCUGAAUUAAAGUAAGAAUGUGACUUACAGUUCUG